rnacentral:rRNA from 1 species
AUGCAUGUCUAAGUAUAAGCAAUUUAUACGGUGAAACUGCGAAUGGCUCAUUAAAUCAGUUAUCGUUUAUUUGAUAGUACCUUACUACAUGGAUACCUGUGGUAAUUCUAGAGCUAAUACAUGCUGAAAACCUCGACUUCGGAAGGGGUGUAUUUAUUAGAUAAAAAACCAAUGCCCUUCGGGGCUCCUUGGUGAAUCAUAAUAACUUAACGAAUCGCAUGGCCUUGCGCCGGCGAUGGUUCAUUCAAAUUUCUGCCCUAUCAACUUUCGAUGGUAGGAUAGUGGCCUACCAUGGUGGCAACGGGUAACGGGGAAUUAGGGUUCGAUUCCGGAGAGGGAGCCUGAGAAACGGCUACCACAUCCAAGGAAGGCAGCAGGCGCGCAAAUUACCCAAUCCCGACACGGGGAGGUAGUGACAAUAAAUACUGAUACGGGGCUCUUUUGGGUCUCGUAAUUGGAAUGAGUACAAUCUAAAUCCCUUAACGAGGAACAAUUGGAGGGCAAGUCUGGUGCCAGCAGCCGCGGUAAUUCCAGCUCCAAUAGCGUAUAUUAAAGUUGUUGCAGUUAAAAAGCUCGUAGUUGAACCUUGGGUUCGGCCGGCCGGUCCGCCUCACCGCGAGUACUGUCCGGCCGUUCCUUUCCUUCUGGGGAAUCCCAUGGCCUUCACUGGCUGUGGGGGGAACCAGGACUUUUACUGUGAAAAAAUUAGAGUGUUCAAAGCAGGCCUUUGCUCGAAUACAUUAGCAUGGAAUAAUAGAAUAGGACGUGUGGUUCUAUUUUGUUGGUUUCUAGGACCGCCGUAAUGAUUAAUAGGGAUAGUCGGGGGCGUCAGUAUUCAGCUGUCAGAGGUGAAAUUCUUGGAUUUGCUGAAGACUAACUACUGCGAAAGCAUUCGCCAAGGAUGUUUUCAUUAAUCAGGGAACGAAAGUUAGGGGAUCGAAGACGAUCAGAUACCGUCGUAGUCUUAACCAUAAACUAUGCCGACUAGGGAUCGGGCGGGAUUCUACAAUGACCCGCUCGGCACCUUACGAGAAAUCAAAGUUUUUGGGUUCUGGGG